rnacentral:misc_RNA from 1 species
UGUGUCCGUCCGCGAUCGGCCGCGAACAUUGCUGAACACGAGAGAAUCAUGGUUUCCGUGGGCGCGUGGAGGCGCCGCGCGCCCGACGACUGCGAGGAGCGCUCCGAACCCGGCGCCUCCAGCUCGGGCGUCCCUCGCGCUCCCCCCAACUGUGCCCGCUGCCGCAACCACCGUUUGAAGAUAGAACUCAAAGGCCACAAGAGAUACUGCAAGUACCGGAACUGCGCGUGCGAGAAGUGUCGCUUGACCGCUGAUAGGCAGAGGGUGAUGGCGCUCCAGACGGCCUUGAGGCGUGCUCAGGCGCAGGACGAAGCUAGAGCGCGGGCUGGGGUGCAAGCGAACGGUGUGGAGCUAGAUAGACCUGAUCCUCCGGCGGUGAAGAUGCAGAGGAGUCCAGUGCCACCGCCGCCGCGGUCCUUGGGGUCGGCCAGCUGUGAUUCAGUGCCUGGGUCCCCAGGAGUGUCACCGUAUGCCCCUCACCCUCCACCGUCCGCGCCACCUUUACCCAAUAUGCCUCCGCUUCUGCCGCCACCCCAACCUGCGGUAUCCCUAGAAAACCUGGUGGAAAAUUGUCAGAAACUUCUAGAAAAAUUCCACUACUCCUGGGAGAUGAUGCCUCUAGUCCUGGUCAUCCUAAAUUAUGCUGGCAGUGACCUGGACGAGGCGUCGCGUAAAAUAGACGAAGGGAAGAUGAUGAUCAACGAGUAUGCCAAAAAGCACAACCUGAACAUUUUCGACGGCCUCGAACUGAGGAACUCGACUCGCCAGAAAAUGCUGCGAAGCGAAAUUAAUAAUAUAAGUGGUGUACUAUCGUCAUCAAUUAAGUUAUUUUGCGAAUGAUACUUUAUUUUACAAGUGCGGUGUUGUGUUUGGACGCGAGUGCGCCGCUGUGUGCGAAUGCCGGACUUUUUUUACUUGCUACACUGGAUAUGUUGCUCACUGGGUGGUCCACCAAUGGCGUCUGUACGAGCGGUCCCUGUGUUCCCUCCUGCAAGCGAGAAA